rnacentral:lncRNA from 1 species
UUGUAUGAGGUUGUUAUAUUGAUCCCAAGAAACUACUCAUGUUGUGGAUGGAGGGUUCUCUUAGAUUGAUGGCAGUGGUGAAUUCAUCGAUGGGGCGUUAUUGGCUUGUCUACCAUUAGAGCAUUAUGAUGCAUUUGAUGCACCCCUUCGUGUCUUCAUUGUGACUAAUGACGAGCUCUCUCCUCUCAGAACAGGAUCUUGAAAUUAGUCGAGGGCCCUUCC